UACGGAGGGUGCAAGCGUUAUCCGGAUUCACUGGGUUUAAAGGGUGCGUAGGUGGGCAGGUAAGUCAGUGGUGAAAUCUCCGGGCUUAACCCGGAACUGCCGUUGAUACUAUCUGUCUUGAAUGUUGUGGAGGUAAGCGGAAUAUGUCAUGUAGCGGUGAAAUGCUUAGAUAUGACAUAGAACACCAAUUGCGAAGGCAGCUUACUACACAAAUAUUGACGCUGAGGCACGAAAGCGUGGGGAUCAAACAGG
rnacentral:rRNA from 1 species